GGGUUGGUGAAAUAAAUCAAUGGGUUCUAAUUCGGUCAUUCAUAUAUAUCCAUAUGUAAAUGUUUAGCCUUGAAUGGCCUGUUUAUUUUGCGCAGUAAAAAAAAUAAAGCAUAUUUUUGAAUGAGGUGUAUAUCCGGCGAGCGGGAAUCCAAUUCUGAAAAGGGUUCAUAAAAUAUUAUCCUUUUUUCCUCAAAUACCAAAGAAUAAACAGUUAUCGGUGAAUGAUCAAUGGAAAGCAACAUAUUCAGAGUUUACAAAAAAUGUAAGAAUGGUUAGUCUAAGUGAUAAGUUAUUGAAAUAAUGACGAUUUUAUUUUUUGGGUCCGGACCCGGUCGGAGGGAAUCCGGAUUUACUCGGUCGGCGGGAGGAUAUAGGGG
rnacentral:lncRNA from 1 species